rnacentral:rRNA from 1 species
GACGAACGCUGGCGGCGUGCUUAACACAUGCAAGUCGAACGAUGAACCGGAGCUUGCUCUGGGGAUUAGUGGCGAACGGGUGAGUAACACGUGGGCAACCUGCCCCAGACACCGGGAUAACCAUUCGAAAGGAUGGCUAAUACCGGAUACGACCACUUCGGGCAUCCGAUGGUGGUGGAAAGGAUUCUGGUCUGGGAUGGGCCCGCGGCCUAUCAGCUUGUUGGUGGGGUAAUGGCUUACCAAGGCGACGACGGGUAGCCGGCCUGAGAGGGCGACCGGCCACACUGGGACUGAGACACGGCCCAGACUCCUACGGGAGGCAGCAGUGGGGAAUAUUGCGCAAUGGGCGAAAGCCUGACGCAGCGACGCCGCGUGAGGGACGAAGGUCUUCGGAUUGUAAACCUCUUUCAGCAGGGAUGAAGCGAAAGUGACAGUACCUGCAGAAGAAGCACCGGCUAACUACGUGCCAGCCGCCGCGGUAACAC